GGUCUUAUAGUGUAAUGGUCAGCACGUCGGAUUCUGAAGCUCCUGCUUUCCGGAGAUUCCAGUUCAAUCCUGGAUAAGACCU